GGGGGGGGGGGGGGGGGGGGGGGGCGGGGGCGGGGCGGGGGGGGGGGGGGGGGGUGGGCGGGGGGGGGGCGGCGGACGGGGGGGGGAUGGCUAGGAAUCUGCCUGGGGGUGGGGGAUAAGGGCCGGAAAGGGGGGCUAAUACCGCCUACGGCCGGAGGGGGAAAGGGGGGGAGCUUCGGACCUCACGCGAUCAGAGGAGCCUAGGUCGGGUUAGCUAGUUGGUGGGGUAAAGGCCUACCAAGGCGACGAUCCGUAACUGGUCUGAGAGGAUGAUCAGUCACACUGGAACUGAGACACGGUCCAGACUCCUACGGGAGGCAGCAGUGGGGAAUAUUGGACAAUGGGCGAAAGCCUGAUCCAGCCAUGCCGCGUGUGUGAAGAAGGUCUUCGGAUUGUAAAGCACUUUAAGUUGGGAGGAAGGGCAGUAAGUUAAUACCUUGCUGUUUUGACGUUACCAACAGAAUAAGCACCGGCUAACUUCGUG
rnacentral:rRNA from 1 species